rnacentral:misc_RNA from 1 species
GCGCAACACAAAUCUCCUCGGUCUAUCUCCAGACCAGUCCCGCGAAAAUCUUAGCACUCUCACUCUCUGGCAAAUCUGCUUCUAGGGUUCGGAGGCCACUAUCCUUAUCUGAUUUUGUUGGGUCGGGUUUCUUUUCAGAGUCCUAUACGGAAAUGAAGCCGAAGAGCGAGCAACUUCGCACUUCCAAGCUAAUUACCUACCUUCUAAUCGGACUCGUUGUGCUUCUUGGCUUGACUUGUUUGUACCAUGGAUCCUCCGUCGCUCCUGGACUCUCCUCCAGAUCCGAACGCUACUCUUUUAGCCAUGAGGGCACCGACCCGGUUAUUGGAGGCUUUUCCGAAACCCGUUAUCUUGAUGAUUUGUUCCAGGAGCAUAUACCGCAUAGCAUUCCUGUACAUUGCAUAUAUGUGUUGAUUCGAAAUAUUUAAUAAGCUUUUAAUAUUUUUCUUUAUGUUUUAGCUGGUUAAUUACUUAAUUACUAUAAUCUAAGCUUAAGUAAUAAUUUUUCUUGAAUUGUAUCAUAUGAAUUUUUCUUUUUUGAUGAAAAGAUUUUUGUUUAUUUUUGGUUUUUGGUGAUUGGUACUGCAGAUAUGUUUAUUUACUUGAAUUGUAUCAUAUGAAUUUUUCUUUUUUGAUGAAAAGAUUUUUGUUUAUUUUUGGUUUUUGGUGAUUGGUACUGCAGAUAUGUUUAUUUA